UAAGCGGGGUAUGAAAGCGUGUGGCUCAACCAUACAGCUAUAUCCUGAACUGCUAAGCUAGAGAAUGAGAGAGGUAGCUGGAAUUCCUUGUGUAGGAGUGAAAUCCGUAGAUAUAAGGAGGAACACCGAUGGCGUAGGCAGGCUACUGGCUUAUUUCUGACACUAAGGCACGAAAGCGUGGGGAGCGACCGGGAUUAGAUACCCCGUUAGUCCACGCCGUAAACGAUGGAUGCUA
rnacentral:rRNA from 1 species